AUAUAAUAAAGAAAAUAAUUUAUUUAUUGAUUAAUCUUUAAAAGUACUUUUCAAAAAACUAGAAUUGUUAUCUAAAUUAGUAUUUUCAGCGGGCACAUUCACAUCACAUAAGACCCAGCAAUCCUAGCUUCACCAAUCCGACAAUCCAAAUCAUAUACGACCGACGGUCCAUCAUGGCCAAAGCCCACAUACAUCUAAAGGUUAAAAACAAACAAAGCUAACUACACGGCCAAAGCCAACUACACGACUUGAAGCCAAAACAUAGUCAUAACAUAUUUUACGGCCUAAAGCGAAAACACUUUCCUUAUUUAACCUUGUUUGUAUAAUCUCGUAAUUUUGUGAAUUACUCUCAUUCUUAAUCUGUUUUAAUGACUUUUCUACUUAACAUGCCAAUUCCUUUCGAGAUCAAUUCUACGUUCGGUCACAUA
rnacentral:lncRNA from 1 species